UGUUCCCACCUGACCCCAUGCCGAACUCAGAAGUGAAACGCCGUAGCGCCGAUGGUAGUGUGGGGUCUCCCCAUGCGAGAGUAGGGAACUGCCAGGC
rnacentral:rRNA from 1 species